GUGUGUGUGUGUGUGUGUGUGUGUGUGUGUGUGUGUGUGUUAAAGAUCAGCUAUUCUGAAGUCUCUUUCCAAAGCUUAGCUAGACUCUAAAGCAGAAGACUGGAUGGCUUGUACUGCCAUUGUGGGAGGGAAGAAGCAGAACGAAAGCUACAGACUUCUUAUUACACGGUGGACUACAGGGAGUGAUAUAAUUCUUGGAUGUCAUGUGAAAUGUGAAGCCAUUUUUCUUGGACUGAUGUCCCCAGUUCUCUACUAAACACAGUAGCUCCCUUGCUUCUUCCAGAAGAUCAUCCAGCAAUGAAUGACCUUAUCAAUUACACUACUAUUGCUACAACUACAAAAACUACUACUACAACUCCUCCUCUUCCUAUUGUGGCUGCUUCUCCCACCACAACUACGACUACUACAGUAACUACUAUUAUGACCAUUACCACUACCGCAACAACUGCUACUACUAUUCUCUUUGUGAUCUAGCUCUUUUUUUUCUAAUUAAAGAAACCUUGUGGUACAUUCAUUUUUAAAGGGAAAUGUAUUCUGAAUUAUAAGUAAAUCUUUAAGUUGUUCUUCCCCAUCCCAGGGUUGUAUUUUAAGAUUACAUAGUAUAGUAGACUUGAAAUAAGAAGGGUUGGGAUUUAAAACUGGCUAUGCCAGAUAGCACAAAAUAAUUACAUAAAUAGAAUUUGGGGAAUAAUGUUAAGAGAUCAAUAAUUUUCAGACAUCCUUAACAGCUUAAUGCUAUGUAAAUUACAAAUGACAUUUUUCCAUUCAUUAUAAGAGACCCCUUUAGAUUCUUGUUUUGGGUAACACUUCGUUAGCUAGCUAGAGCAUUUAUAUAGUACUUAAAGGUUUGUGAAAUGCUUUACACAUGUUUUCUCCUCACUACAGUCUUCUGAGGUAGAUAUUAAUAUUUUCUCCAUUUUAUAGAUGCGAAAAUUGAGACUGAGAGAAGUUAAAUUACUUGCCUAGGUAAGAGAUUGAAAUAGUCUUCCAGACUUUAAGUUCAACACUGUGACACCUGGCUGCCAGCUAGGUUGUAUUAGCCUAGCUUAAGUUAUUGUAUAUACGUGGAUAUGAUGAAACUGAAAUUAUUUUAAAAUAUUCUAUGAUUCAAGACAUUUAAAUUCAGAUUGACUUCUUUAUUCUGAAUUAAGUAGGUUUCACUAGGAUGUUUAGCCUUUGCUCCCCUUUUGAAAGUUGACAAAAGAAGGCUUAGAUGAUUGGUAUCAGUUCGAAAAAAGUGGAUCUUGGAAGGGCAAAUGGAAAUAAGAGUGAGAUAUAUAUCCCUGGGACUGAAACUUCCCUUAGGGGAGAAAGAGGCCAAGUUCUUGAUUCUCCUUGGACUUGUGUUCCAGGACAAGCCUAACUCAGAGUGGUUAGGAUUAGAAUGCAAUAAGACAUUCAUAGACUAGAUAACACUUAAUAAAAAGAAAUUUACUCUACAAUCACAGAGGUAAGACAUAUAUUGAGCAAUGAAAACAUCAUUAGUUCCCAUGCCUCCAUAUUUGCCAUGAUGACACACAAGAUCAGAAGUGUGAUAACUCCAAUAAGAGCAGGAAGUCUGUCAAAAUGGAUGGGCCCAGAGUACUCAAGACAUAUAUCUUAUGUCUUAUGUGUUUGGAAAUUUAUGUCAGUUAUUGAAGCCUCUAAAGUAUGGUAAAAGUGCAAAAGCAAUUGACUGGUUUGCAUCCUAACUAUUUAAAUGACAACACUAAUUAGGCUUAAACUUCUUAAAUCCAGCAAUCAAACUUGACUAAUCAAGAGCAUGUAAACAUUAGUUUAUGUUAUCUA